rfam:Klebsiella pneumoniae subsp. pneumoniae DSM 30104 plasmid pKPt4 Contig00026, whole genome shotgun sequence.
CACACAUAGGAACCUCCGUUAAGGAUUCUAUGGACAGUCGAUGCAGGGAGGUCUGAACUCCCUGCAUCGGCGAUUUU